CCUACGGGGGGCAGCAGUGAGGAAUAUUGGUCAAUGGACGAGAGUCUGAACCAGCCAAGUAGCGUGAAGGAUGACUGCCCUAUGGGUUGUAAACUUCUUUUAUAUGGGAAUAAAAUGUUCCACGUGUGGGAUUUUGUAUGUACCAUAUGAAUAAGGAUCGGCUAACUCCGUGCCAGCAGCCGCGGUAAUACGGAGGAUCCGAGCGUUAUCCGGAUUUAUUGGGUUUAAAGGGAGCGUAGGUGGAUUGUUAAGUCAGUUGUGAAAGUUUGCGGCUCAACCGUAAAAUUGCAGUUGAAACUGGCAGUCUUGAGUACAGUAGAGGUGGGCGGAAUUCGUGGUGUAGCGGUGAAAUGCUUAGAUAUCACGAAGAAGUCCGAUUGCGAAGGCAGUUCACUGGACUGCAACUGACACUGAGGCUCGAAAGUGUGGGUAUCAAACAGGAUUAGAUACCCGAGUAGUC
rnacentral:rRNA from 1 species